GCGGCUAUGGCGGAAUUGGUAGACGCGCUAUCUUGAGGGGGUAGUGUCCUUGACGUGUGAAUUCGAAUUUCACUAGCCGCACCA
rnacentral:tRNA from 1 species